rnacentral:rRNA from 1 species
UCGAGGGGCAGCAUUUCAGUUUGCUUGCAAACUGGAGAUGGCGACCGGCGCACGGGUGAGUAACACGUAUCCAACCUGCCGAUAACUCGGGGAUAGCCUUUCGAAAGAAAGAUUAAUACCCGAUGGUAUAAUCAGACCGCAUGGUCUUGUUAUUAAAGAAUUUCGGUUAUCGAUGGGGAUGCGUUCCAUUAGGCAGUUGGUGAGGUAACGGCUCACCAAACCUUCGAUGGAUAGGGGUUCUGAGAGGAAGGUCCCCACAUUGGAACUGAGACACGGUCCAAACUCC